rnacentral:tRNA from 2 species
GGAGAGGUGUCCGAGUGGCCGAAGGAGCACGCUUGGAAAGCGUGUGUGCGGGCAACUGCACCGCGGGUUCGAAUCCCGCCCUCUCCGCCA